rnacentral:rRNA from 1 species
GACGAACGCUGGCGGCGUGCUUAACACAUGCAAGUCGAACGAUGAAGGAGAGCUUGCUCUCCGGAUUAGUGGCGAACGGGUGAGUAACACGUGACUAACCUGUCCCUUUCUCUGGGAUAACGCUCCGAAAGGCGUGCUAAUACCGGAUACGAACUCUGAACACAUGUUCGGAGUUGGAAAGUUCUUCGGAAAGGGAUGGAGUCGCGGCCUAUCGGCUUGUUGGUGAGGUAACGGCUCACCAAGGCGACGACGGGUAGCCGGCCUGAGAGGGCGACCGGCCACACUGGGACUGAGACACGGCCCAGACUCCUACGGGAGGCAGCAGUGGGGAAUGUUGCACAAUGGGCGAAAGCCUGAUGCAGCGACGCCGCGUGAGGGAUGAAGGUCUUCGGAUUGUAAACCUCUUUCAGUAGGGACGAAGCGAAAGUGACGGUACCUAAAGAAGAAGCACCGGCUAACUACGUGCCAGCAGCCGCCGCCG